AUUGAACGCUGGCGGCAGGCUUAACACAUGCAAGUCGAGCGAGCGGCGGACGUGUUAGUAAUGUCUGUGAAUCUGCCUGAUGGAUGGGGAUAACUACUGGAAACUGUAGCUAAUUCCGCAUUCAAUCGGCUGUGCCCAGAUGGGAUUAGCUAGUAGGUGGGGUAAUGGCUCACCUAGGCGACGAUCCCUAGCUGGUCUGAGAGGAUGACCAGCCACACUGGAACUGAGACACGGUCCAGACUCCUACGGGAGGCAGCAGUGGGGAAUAUUGCACAAUGGGCGCAAGCCUGAUGCAGCCAUGCCGCGUGUGUGAAGAAGGCCUUCGGGUUGUAAAGCACUUUAAGCGGGGAGGCGUUACUCGCAGAAGAAGCACCGGCUAACUCCGUGCCAGCAGCCGCGGUAAUAC
rnacentral:rRNA from 1 species